rnacentral:rRNA from 1 species
UGGGGAAUAUUGGACAAUGGGCGCAAGCCUGAUCCAGCCAUGCCGCGUGUGUGAAGAAGGCCUUUUGGUUGUAAAGCACUUUAAGCGAGGAGGAGGCUACUGAGAUUAAUACUCUUGGAUAGUGGACGUUACUCGCAGAAUAAGCACCGGCUAACUCUGUGCCAGCAGCCGCGGUAAUACAGAGGGUGCGAGCGUUAAUCGGAUUUACUGGGCGUAAAGCGUGCGUAGGCGGCUUCUUAAGUCGGAUGUGAAAUCCCUGAGCUUAACUUAGGAAUUGCAUUCAAUACUGGGAAGCUAGAGUAUGAGAGAAGACGGUAGAAUUCCAGGUGUGGCGGUGAAAUGCGUAGAGAUCUGGAGGAAUACCGAUGGCGAAGGCAGCCAUCUGGCCUAAUACUGACGCUGAGGUACGAAAGCAUGGGGAGCAAACAGG